rnacentral:lncRNA from 1 species
GACAAUCAAUCUGGAGGUUUCUCUUUGGCACCUCUCAUUUCAAACAAAAAGGUUCUUCUCUCCACUGUCCUGCAACGCUGUCUCACUCCGCCAUCAGGUUGCAAGCCCCUAGUAUUGUUGCUAGAAAUGCAUCGAAAAAUUACAUGGCCAGAAAAGUGCUCAAACCUGAUUCAGCUUCUCUCUCUGUCUAUGUAGAGACUGGAACAGAGGCCCCCUUUCUCUCUUUCCAAAUUGACUCGUAUGAUUCCAGGGUUUGGCAUUUUAAGGGAGAAAGGAGCGAGGAGUAACAAGAGGAAAGUAGAGGGAAGAGCACUACGGUUUAAAAAUGAAAGCUGCCAAAGGGAAGAGCCCAUCAUUUGAAAAGAGUGGGCCUUACUUUCUACCUCUACCAAUAGAUUAUCGCCUGAUGCACCAUUCUUGAUGAGCAGGUGCCGAUCACUUGUGUUGCUCCAUCUUCCUUUUCUGAAUUCUGAGAUGCAUCGUAUUGGAAAAUAUAAGGUGAUCUUAAUUGGUUUAUGGUGUGUUGGGCUUGGAGGUAUGCUUUUG